GUGCUCGCUUCGGCAGCACACAUACUAAAAUUGGAACGGUACAGAGAAGAUUAGCAUGGCCCUGCGCAAGAAUGACACGCAAAAAAACCCACAAAAAAAAAACCCCUUU
rnacentral:snRNA from 1 species